GUCUCGGUGACAGCGAUCUGGAGCGACGCGCAGUGAUGGCAGCUGAGAGGAUGUGACAGGAGGUUCCCCAACACUGCUGGACAGUAAUGGAAUCUGGAAAUGUUACCCAAGAACAAGAAGUUAUUCCCAAUAAAGAGACAGAUUAACACAGUUUGUGAAGGUCCGGCUCUGCAGUUCGCUCUUCUUGUACCUCGACAUGUAUAAAGUGAAAGAAUGGCCACUGACUUUAGAGACUUGGAAAAUGAUUUAUUUACUGUAGAUGGAUGAAGAAAUCUUUGUAUAUUUUAAUAUAUCGCAUUCCACAUAAAUAAAAUAAAUAUAUAUAUUUAUUUAAAUAAAUAA